ACACUGACGUCGCGAUGCAUAUCAAUAAGCGGAGGAAAAGAAACUAACAAGGAUUCCCUUAGUAACGGCGAGUGAAGCGGGAAGAGCUCAAAUUUGAAAUCUUCAAGGUUCUACCUUGACGAAUUGUAGUUUAAAGAAGUGUUUUCUGUUAGAUGAGUAGCAAAAGUUCCUUGGAAUGGGACAUCAUAGAGGGUGAGAAUCCCGUAUUUGGUUAUUCAUUCUAGCUUUGUGAUACACUUUCAAAGAGUCGGAUUGUUUGGGAAUGCAGUCCAAAAUGGGUGGUAAAUUUCAUCUAAAGCUAAAUAUUGGCGAGAGACCGAUAGCGAACAAGUACCGUGAGGGAAAGAUGAAAAGAACUUUGAAAAGAGAGUUAAACAGUACGUGAAAUUGUCAAAAGGGAAGCGUUUGACACCAGUGUUGUUUUUCCGAAAAUCAAUUACGAAUGGCUUGAUUUUGUGUUGUAUUGACCUUAUCAGCUUUCUGCACUUUUUUCGAGUCUUUCUUAAUGCACUUUUCGGUUAACAAGUCAACAUCAAUUUCUUUUGUUGUAAAAGAGUAUUCGGAAGGUGGCUUUCUUUUCGGAGAAAGUGUUUAUAGCCCUAUACUUCUACAAUCGGAGAGAUUGAGGUACUGCAGCGUAGAUCCUUCGGGGUUAGAUACAUUUGUGCUAAGUUGUAAGCUUUUCAUAGACAACUUGUUGACUAUGUUUAGUCUUGUAGACUUACUCGCUUAUGCUAUUUUACCUACGCUUAGGAUGUUGAGUCGUAGAGCACGCAG
rnacentral:rRNA from 1 species